rnacentral:rRNA from 1 species
GACGAACGCUGGCGGCGUGCUUAACACAUGCAAGUCGAACGGGCCUUGUCCCCUUUUUUUUGGGGGUGGGGUUAGUGGCGAACGGGUGAGUAACACGUGAGUAACCUGCCCCUCACUUCUGGAUAACCGCUUGAAAGGGUGGCUAAUACGGGGUGUUCUGGCCUGCUCGCAUGGGUGGGUUUGGAAAGAUUCGACCGGUUUUGGUUGUUUUGGUGGGGGAUGGGCUCGCGGCCUAUCAGCUUGUUGGUGGGGUGAUGGCCUGCCAAGGCUUUGACGGGUAGCCGGCCUGAGAGGGUGGGCGGUCACACUGGGACUGAGACACGGCCCAGACUCCUACGGGAGGCAGCAGUGGGGAAUAUUGCACAAUGGGCGCAAGCCUGAUGCAGCGACGCCGCGUGAGGGAUGGAGGCCUUCGGGUUGUGAACCUCUUUCGCCAGUGAAGAAGGUCCUGCUCCUUGUGGUGGGGUUGACGGUAGCUGGGUUAAUGAAGCGCCGGCUAACUACGUG